UACGGAGGGUGCAAGCAUUAAUCGGAUUUACUGGGCGUAAAGGGCGCGUAGGCGGAAGGUCAUGUCAGAUGUAAAAUCCCGGAGCUCAACUUCGGAACUGCAUUUGAAACGGGCUUUCUUGAGGGUAGGCGGAGAAAAUGGAAUUCCACGUGUAGCGGUGAAAUGCGUAGAUAUGUGGAAGAACACCUGUGGCGAAAGCGGUUUUCUAGCUUAUUCCUGACGCUGAGGCGCGAAAGCAAGGGGAGCAAAC
rnacentral:rRNA from 1 species